GCUUGUGGCCAUACCAGCUUGUCAAAGCCUGAUCUCGUCAGAUCUCAGAAGCUAAGCAAGGCCGGGCCUGGUUAGUACUUGGAUAGGAGACCUGUAGGAGUAUCAGGUACUGCAGUAG
rnacentral:rRNA from 1 species